GCUUGACUGUAUCUUGGAAUUGGGUUCGGGCUUUUCUUGCGCAGACUAGGUGGGAGCUAUGAAGAUUUCUUCUGGGAAAGUUGGAGCCAACAGUGAGAGACCACUCUGGAAAGGCUAGAAUCCUAAUGGUGAUCCUUGAAUCAGGACACUUGACAGUUUCAGGUGGGCAGUUUUUCUGGGGCGGAAGCCUCAUAAAAGGUAACUGAGGCGCGCAAAGGUCCCCUCAGUCUGGACGGAAAUCAGACAUUGAGUGUAAAGGCAAAAGGGGCUUGACUGCAAGACCCACAAGUCGAGCAGGGCGAAAGCUGGCCUUAGUGAUCCGAGCC
rnacentral:rRNA from 1 species